GACGAACGCUGGCGGCGUGCUUAACACAUGCAAGUCGAACGGAAAGGCCCUGCUUUUGUGGGGUGCUCGAGUGGCGAACGGGUGAGUAACACGUGAGUAACCUGCCCUUGACUUUGGGAUAACUUCAGGAAACUGGGGCUAAUACCGGAUAGGAGCUCCUGCUGCAUGGUGGGGGUUGGAAUGUUUCGGCGGUUGGGGAUGGACUCGCGGCUUAUCAGCUUGUUGGUGGGGUAGUGGCUUACCAAGGCUUUGACGGGUAGCCGGCCUGAGAGGGUGACCGGCCCCAUUGGGACUCAGAUACGGCCCGGAGUCCUGCGGGAGACAGCAGUGGGGAAUAGUGCACGAUGGGCGGAAGCCUGAUGCAGCAACGCCGCGUGCGGGAUGACGGCCUUCGGUUUGUAAGCCGCUUUCGCCUGUGACGAAGCGUGAGUGACGGUAAUGGGUAAAGAAGCACCGGCUAACUACGUG
rnacentral:rRNA from 1 species